AGUUUGAUCAUGGCUCAGAUUGAACGCUGGCGGCAUGCCUUACACAUGCAAGUCGAACGGCAGCACGGGAGCUUGCUCCUGGUGGCGAGUGGCGAACGGGUGAGUAAUACAUCGGAACGUACCCUGAAGUGGGGGAUAACGUAGCGAAAGUUACGCUAAUACCGCAUAUUCUGUGAGCAGGAAAGAGGGGGAUCGCAAGACCUCUUGCUUUAGGAGCGGCCGAUGUCGGAUUAGCUAGUUGGUGAGGUAAAGGCUCACCAAGGCGACGAUCCGUAGCGGGUCUGAGAGGAUGAUCCGCCACACUGGGACUGAGACACGGCCCAGACUCCUACGGGAGGCAGCAGUGGGGAAUUUUGGACAAUGGGCGCAAGCCUGAUCCAGCCAUGCCGCGUGAGUGAAGAAGGCCUUCGGGUUGUAAAGCUUCUUUCGGUGGGGAAGAAAUUGCUUCGGUUAAUACCUGGAGUAGAUGACGGUACCCGCAUAAGGAGCACCGGCUAACUACGUG
rnacentral:rRNA from 1 species